GAUGAAGAACGUAGCGAAAUGCGAUACUUGGUGUGAAUUGCAGAAUCCCGUGAACCAUCGAGUCUUUGAACGCAAGUUGCGCCCGAAGCCGUCAGGCCGAGGGCACGCCUGCCUGGGCGUCACACGCCGUUGCCCCCCCGCGCCCCGCACCCAACUCUUUGGGAGCGACCGCGGGGCGGGCUGAUGAUGGCCUCCCGUGCGCUCCGCCGCGCGGUUGGCCCAAAUACCGAGUCCCCGGCGACGUGCGCCACGACGAUCGGUGGUUGAGAGACCUCUGUCGCAAGUCGUGCGCGCCCGUCGCGUCACGCGGGCUCGCAUAGCGCCUCGCGCCGCACCCGGUGCGGAGCUCUCAACGCGACCCCAGGUCAGGCGGGGUUACCCGCUGAAUUUAAGCAUAUCAAUAAGCGGAGGA
rnacentral:misc_RNA from 1 species